CCUACGGGUGGCAGCAGUGAGGAAUAUUGGUCAAUGGACGCGAGCCUGAACCAGCCAAGUCGCGUGAAGGAUGAAGGAUCUAUGGUUUGUAAACUUCUUUUAUAUGGGGAUAAAGUGAGGUACGUGUUCCUGUUUGUAUGUAUCAUAUGAAUAAGCAUCGGCUAACUCCGUGCCAGCAGCCGCGGUAAUACGGAGGAUGCGAGCGUUAUCCGGAUUUAUUGGGUUUAAAGGGUGCGUAGGUGGUUAGUUAAGUUAGAGGUGAAAUUUUGAGGCUCAACCAUAGAAUUGCCGUUGAUACUGGUUGACUUGAGUAUAUUUGAGGUAGGCGGAAUGCGUGGUGUAGCGGUGAAAUGCAUAGAGAUCACGCAGAACACCGAUUGCGAAGGCAGCUUACUAAGCUAUAACUGACACUGAAGCACGAAAGCGUGGGGAUCAAACAGGAUUAGAUACCCGAGUAGUC
rnacentral:rRNA from 1 species